AUUGAACGCUGGCGGCAUGCUUUACACAUGCAAGUCGAACGGUAACAGGCCGCAAGGUGCUGACGAGUGGCGAACGGGUGAGUAAUGCAUCGGAACGUGCCCAGUCGUGGGGGAUAACGCAGCGAAAGCUGCGCUAAUACCGCAUACGAUCUAUGGAUGAAAGCGGGGGACCGUAAGGCCUCGCGCGAUUGGAGCGGCCGAUGUCAGAUUAGGUAGUUGGGGGGGUAAAGGCUCACCAAGCCGACGAUCUGUAGCUGGUCUGAGAGGACGACCAGCCACACUGGGACUGAGACACGGCCCAGACUCCUACGGGAGGCAGCAGUGGGGAAUUUUGGACAAUGGGCGCAAGCCUGAUCCAGCAAUGCCGCGUGCAGGAAGAAGGCCUUCGGGUUGUAAACUGCUUUUGUACGGAACGAAACGGCUCUGGUUAAUACCUGGGGCUAAUGACGGUACCGUAAGAAUAAGCACCGGCUAACUACGUGCCAGCCGCCGCCGUAUAC
rnacentral:rRNA from 1 species